rnacentral:lncRNA from 1 species
UGGAUGGAGUCUUAUAGGGAUGAAGGGACACAUAGGGCACAUGGCAUGGGACCCAUUAGGGAUGGAUGGAUCUAUAAGGGAUGAAUGGGACCCAUAGGGAUGGAUGGGACACAUAGGGGAUGGAUGGGACACAUAGGGAUGGAUGGGAUCUAUAGGGGAUGGAUGGGAUCUAUAGGGGAUGGAUGGGAUCUAUAGGGAUGGAUGGGAUCUAUAGGGAUGGAUGGGACACAUAGGGAUGGAUGGGAUCUAUAGGGAUGGAUGGGAUCUAUAGGGGAUGGAUGGGACAUAUAGAGUGGUGAGACUAUAGGGAUGAGAUGGAUCUAUAGGGGGAUGCGGAUGGGAUCUAUAGGGGAUGGAGGGACACUAGGGAUGGAUGGGACACAUAG